CCUACGGGUGGCAGCAGUCGAGAAUCAUUCACAAUGGGGGAAACCCUGAUGGUGCGACGCCGCGUGGGGGAAUGAAGGUCUGCGGAUUGUAAACCCCUGUCAUGUGGGAGCAAAUGAAAAAGAUAGUACCACAAGAGGAAGAGACGGCUAACUCUGUACCAGCACCCGCGGUAAUACAGAGGGCUCAAGCGUUGUUCGGAAUCACGGGGCGUAAAGCGUGCGUGGGUGGUGUAGUAAGUCGUGGGUUAAAGGGGCGGGCUGCACCCGCGGACGGCAGAUGAUACUGCGAGACUAGAGUAAGGGAGGGGGAAGCGGAAUUCUCGGUGUAGCAGUGAAAUGCGUAGAGAUCGAGCGGAACACUCGUGGCGAAGGCGGGUUCCUGGACAUUAACUGACGCUGAGGCACGAAGGCCAGGGGAGCGAAAGGGAUUAGAUACCCUAGUAGUC
rnacentral:rRNA from 1 species